CCUUUCUAGCUGAGUUUGAUCCUGGCUCAGGCUGGAUCACCUCCUUUCUAGCUGAGUUUGAUCCUGGCUCAGAGCGAACGCUGGCGGAAUGCUUAACACAUGCAAGUCGCACGGGCAGCAAUGUCAGUGGCGGACGGGUGAGUAACGCGUAGGAAUGUGUCCUGGGAUGGGGGAUAACGUCGGGAAACUGGCGCUAAUACCGCAUAUGAGCUGAGGCUCAAAGCCGCGAGGCGUCUUAGGAGCAGCCUGCGUCCGAUUAGCUUGUUGGUGGGGUAAAGGCUUACCAAGGCGACGAUCGGUAGCUGGUCUGAGAGGAUGAUCAGCCACACUGGAACUGAGACACGGUCCAGACUCCUACGGGAGGCAGCAGUGGGGAAUAUUGGACAAUGGGCGGAAGCCUGAUCCAGCAAUUCCGCGUGGGUGAAGAAGGUCUUCGGAUUGUAAAGCCCUUUCGACGGGGACGGAUGAUGACGGUACCCGUAGAAGAAGCCCCGGC
rnacentral:rRNA from 1 species